CACAGAAUGACUCUCGGCAACGGAUAUCUUGGCUCUUGCAUCGAUGAAGAACGCAGCGAAAUGCGAUACUUGGUGUGAAUUGCAGAAUCCCGUGAACCAUCGAGUCUUUGAACGCAAGUUGCGCCCGAAGCCAUUAGGCCGAGGGCACGCCUGCCUGGGUGUCACA
rnacentral:rRNA from 1 species